CACAUUUUGAACAGCACCAUGGGAAUUUCGGAUUUUACACAGGUGGUUGGAUGUUACACUCUGGAAAUGGAAGCAAGAUUACCCAUGGAAACAUCUGCCAUUACAAUUAUCUCAUGCACCUGCUCGCUGGACUUACCUGCAUACAGCUCAGCCACAGCUACGUUGCAGACUCCAUUCUGUUUCUCGCCUGCCCACCCCCGCUUCACUACCUGUGAUCUUGGAUCAAUUCAUACCAACAUUCACCCGGACCUCCGCAACCUCGCCUCGCCCUCUCACGUUCCUUCACCUGCAACAAAUGUCUCAGGCUACCGGCUCUAGCACCCCUGUGUCCUCAUCAACUUAUAAUAACUGAUAAUUCAUGCUCUAGCUCGAGAAUCUUGUUACGUCAUGUGCCUAUUACCCUGAUCGUAACCCAAGUUGGUAGUUAUAGUGUUUUCCUCUCAUCAUUGUAUAUAGCCUGUUGGCCAUGUUCACAGUUACAGUAUUAACUCACGCACAUGUAUAUAGCUCAUAGGUCUAAUAUUUAGCUCACGCCUUUGCAUAUAGUUCCCAGUCCAAUCUUCGCCAACGUGGGUAACUUGAUGAACUGGUGGGGAAGAGAUGAC
ensembl:lncRNA